rnacentral:rRNA from 1 species
GCGCACCAGGCGAGAAACCUCCGCAAUACACGAAAGUGUGACGGGGCCAUCCCGAGUGCCGUCCGCUGAGGACGGCUUUUCCCCAGUGUACACAGCUGGGGGAAUAAGGAGAGGGCAAGCCUGGUGUCAGCCGCCGCGGUAAUACCAGCUCUCCGAGUGGUGGGGACGCUUAUUGGGCCUAAAGCAUCCGUAGCCGGCUGGGCAAGUCCUCCGUUAAAUCCAACGAUUCAAUCGUUGGGCUGCGGGGGAUACUGUCCAGCUUGGGGGCGGGAGAGGCCGACGGUAUUCCCGGGGUAGGGGUGAAAUCCUAUAAUCCCGGGAGGACCACCAGUGGCGAAGGCUGUCGGCUAGAACGCGCCCGACGGUGAGGGAUGAAAGCUGGGGGAGCGAACCGGAUUAGAUA